rnacentral:rRNA from 1 species
CCAAUAGCGUAUAUUAAAGUUGCUGCAGUUAAAAAGCUCGUAGUUGAAUUUCGGGACCAUCAUGUCGGUCGUGCCUCGGUACGUACUGGCAUUGUUGGUUUCUCCCUUCUGACGAACCAUGAUGUCAUUUAUUUGGUGUUGUGGGGAAUCAGGACUGUUACUUUGAAAAAAUUAGAGUGUUUAAAGCAGGCUCACGCUUGAAUACAUUAGCAUGGAAUAAUGAAAUAGGACGUUUGAUUCUAUUUUGUUGGUUUCUAGGAUCGACGUAAUGAUUAAUAGGGAUAGUUGGGGGCAUUAGUAUUCAAUUGUCAGAGGUGAAAUUCUUGGAUUUAUUGAAGACUAACUACUGCGAAAGCAUUUGCCAAGGAUGUUUUCAUUAAUCAAGAACGAAAGUUAGGGGAUCGAAGACGAUCAGAUACCGUCGUAGUCUUAACCAUAAACUAUGCCGACUAGGGAUCGAAUGAUGUUAAUUUUUUAAUGACUCAUUCGGCGCCUUACG